rnacentral:ncRNA from 1 species
UAAUAAGCAUCGAUGGGAACCGAGUAAUUCUUUAUCUCCCUGUACAGAGAGCUGAUGGUGGUGCAAAUCAGCCAUAGAUAAAGAAUGAAUUACAGUCCCGGAGCUUCUUUUUCGUAGUAAAGCCCCAUGCUUUAUGAAGGGAAAGACGGUCUAUUGAUCGUUAACAAUGUUGAGUGGUGAAGUUAAUUCUUCACAACAAGGGUGGUACCGCGAUUAUUCGUCCCUGCU